rnacentral:rRNA from 1 species
AAUAGAUACCCGGGUAGUCCACGCCGUAAACGAUGAGUGCUAGGUGUCGGGGGGUUUCGAUACCCGCGGUGCCGAAGUUAACACAUUAAGCACUCCGCCUGGGGAGUACGGUCGCAAGACUGAAACUCAAAGGAAUUGACGGGGACCCGCACAAGCAGUGGAGUAUGUGGUUUAAUUCGAAGCAACGCGAAGAACCUUACCAGGUCUUGACAUCCCCCUGACCGGUCUAGAGAUAGGCCUUCCCUUCGGGGCAGGGGAGACAGGUGGUGCAUGGUUGUCGUCAGCUCGUGUCGUGAGAUGUUGGGUUAAGUCCCGCAACGAGCGCAACCCUUGAUCUUAGUUGCCAGCACUUUGGGUGGGCACUCUAAGAUGACUGCCGGUGACAAACCGGAGGAAGGCGGGGAUGACGUCAAAUCAUCAUGCCCCUUAUGACCCUGGGCUACACACGUACUACAAUGGCCGGUACAAAGGGCUGCGAAGCCGCGAGGCGGAGCCAAUCCCAGCAAAGCCGGUCUCAGUUCGGAUUGCAGGCUGCAACUCG